UCAAAAUGGCUGGCAGGCCGGCUGUUACAGCAUCAGGCCGAUGGCUGGAUGGUAUUCGAAAAUGGUAUUACAAUGCUGCAGGAUUCAAUAAGCUGGGGUUAAUGUGAGAUGAUACAAUAUAUGAGGAUGAAGAUGUAAAAGAAGCUAUAAGAAGGCUUCCUGAGAACCUUUACAAUGACAAGAUGUUUCGCAUUAAGAGAGCACUGGACCUGACGAUGAGGCAGCAGAUCUUGCCCAAGGAACAGUGGACAAAAUAUGAAGAGGAUAAAUUCUACCUUGAACCAUACCUGAAAGAGGUUAUUUGGGAAAGAAAAGAGAGAGAAGAAUGGGCAAAGAAGUAAUUAUAUAGUUGAAAUCUAUGGAGGCAGCUAUCAUCAAAGUAUUUUUAUGAAGAUGGUUAGACCUUAAACAUAAAAUUUAAGA